rnacentral:rRNA from 1 species
GAUGAACGCUGGCGGCGUGCCUAAUACAUGCAAGUCGAGCGAACGGACGAGAAGCUUGCUUCUCUGAUGUUAGCGGCGGACGGGUGAGUAACACGUGGAUAACCUACCUAUAAGACUGGGAUAACUUCGGGAAACCGGAGCUAAUACCGGAUGAUAUUUUGAACCGCAUGGUUCAAAAGUGAAAGACGGUCUUGCUGUCACUUAUAGAUGGAUCCGCGCUGCAUUAGCUAGUUGGUAAGGUAACGGCUUACCAAGGCAACGAUGCAUAGCCGACAUGAAAGGGAGAUCGGCCACACUGGAACUGAGACACGGUCAGGACUCCUACGGGAGGCAGCAGUAGGGAAUCAUCCGCAAUGGGCGAAAGCCUGAAGGAGCAACGCCGCGUGAGUGAUGAAGGUCUUCGGAUCGUAAAACUCUGUUAUUAGGGAAGAACAUAUGUGUAAGUAACUGUGCACAUCUUGACGGUACCUAAUCAGAAAGCCACGGCUAACUACGUG